GGCCCCGUAGCUCAGUGGAUAGAGCAGUGGUUUCCUAAACCAUGUGUCGGGCGUUCGAGUCGCCCCGGGGCCGCCA
rnacentral:tRNA from 1 species